GCGGGUAUAGCUCAGAGGUAGAGCACAUGCUUAGCAUGCAGGAGGUCCUGGGUUCAAUCUCCAGUAACUCCA
rnacentral:tRNA from 1 species